CACAAUGACAAAUAUGUCAUGUUUAAGAAAUCAAUUCUCAGUUUUACAGACCAAACAUUAUAGUUUAUGCAAGGAAAAUUACAUGGAAAAACGAUUUAAUAGCAUGACAGGAUACAUGAAGAGGACUUCAAAAGCUCUUGCCAGCUGUGGAGGGUGAGCUCAUAUUUUGUGGAAUGGAGCAGAGAAGGCAGAUUGUUCUUCUACAAAGGAGAUAUGGAACCUACCUGAGAAGGUUCAAAGAACUCAAUGCUGAAGAUACAGAAUUAUACCCAAAUCCAUACAUUCAUUAGGAUAAAGAAUAAAAUUGC